AGAUCUGUAGCUCAGUGGGAAGAGCAUCUGCCUUACAAGCAGAGGGUCGGCGGUUCGAGCCCGCCCGGAUCUACCA
rnacentral:tRNA from 1 species